rnacentral:rRNA from 1 species
UGCUUCGGAAUCUGCCCUUCAGUGGGGAAUAACCAGUCGAAAGACUGGCUAAUACCGCAUACGAACUACGGUUGAAAGCAGGGGAUCGCAAGACCUUGCGCUGAUGGAUGAGCCGAAGUCGGAUUAGCUGGUUGGUGGGGUAAUGGCCUACCAAGGCGACGAUCCGUAGCUGGUCUGAGAGGACGACCAGCCACACUGGGACUGAGACACGGCCCAG